rnacentral:lncRNA from 1 species
CCGGAACAUGUUCAAUAGGUACGGCCGCGAGGGGCGCCGUGUCCUGGGCAGCGACAGGCUCCGCAGCAGUGGGGUUUCUCUCUGGGAGGGCCACCCCAGUGGGAAUAGUUGUCUGCCGCAUAACUGGGGGUGGCCUCGCCACAGUUGGGCGUCUGGGAGGGGCAACACUUUUCUUGCCCUUCCUUCGGAGGUCGGCCUCC